CCAAAAAGAUGUUUAUUGCGAAGCUACAGUCCCAGACUAACCUGGAGGGAUGUUUGAAUUCUGGAAAACCUUAUGGAUAAGCCUCGCAAUUAUGUACUUAGUCAUAACCAGAGGGGAGGAACUUUGAAGGCACUGGAUUGAAGAGACACAAAAGUCAGGAAGUAACCCUUUCGUGGGGACUGCAGAGGCCACAGAGGAGAAACAAAGUCCCUUCACAACCGGGGAAGACGGACCGUACCAUCCCGGGGGUGGGUGGCGGAGUGGGGAAGAGGGUGGUGGAAACUGACAUCCUCGCUCUCAAGGAGCCGGCGAGGACACGGGAUUUCCCGGCUGAAAAGCCUCAGUGUUCGCCUGUCCCAGCACAGCCUCUCCCCCUCCGUGGAGGCCUGAGUACCGCAGCCCGGGGGCGCCCUGCAUCACCACUCUGUGCGCGGGCGGGGCCGUGCUCCCCGGCCUGGAGAUGGAUGGCGUGCCCGAGCCAGCCCAUCUGCGGCCGCGGCUGGUCCGGGAGGAAGCCAUCCCCGGGGAUGAAUGGGGCUUUGUUCGCUGCCAGCCGCGCUCCCCUCGCGGCCCGGCUCGGCACAACGGAGGCAGUAUGCGACAGGCAUGGAAAUGAGCCGCGGGCUCUCCCCUCGCAGCGCCCAGGAAUGCUGGCCAGCCGGAAAGGAGCCCUCGCCGGGGACCCGCUCCCGCGCCUCUGAAACCCCAUUGAGAAGGGCCCUUUGAAGCAAUUAAAGCGCGUUUCACGGCGGCCCGGGAGGGGGCCCUGGCCGGCCAGCUUCUCUUUUUACCCCUCUCUCUGUCCGAUCUUGUUUGUGCACCUUGGUGUGGCGGGUUACCUAGAAACCAGGCCAGAACCCGCUCCCUCUCUUCCAGAGAUUCUGUAACCUCACAAAAGUGUCCCCAUAAACAGAUUGCUUGUCACCAGGGGGCGGGGGUGUGUGCGGGCUGGAACCCAGUUUGGACUUGAUCCAAGUUGACCUGCAAAGCCUGGGUUCCUGCUUUCAAAGGCUUCUUUGCUGGGCUCUACACCCACCUGCCCUGCAGUCAGGUUUAGGCAGACAAGAAACCGCCUCUGGACGAGAAAGUCCUGGGGCUGCGGCUCAGCAUUUUCCAUUUUCUCAGAGGUGGGGUGGGCCGCGUUCAGGUCUAGAAGUGAUGUCACAACCAGCCCUGUAAAGUGAUGUAACCUACACUUGAAGGACUAGGACCCGGCUACUAUUUUGAGACUCUUGAGUUCCUUCCUUCCUCCCUGGAGACAAGUGGAUGACUAUGGAGAACUCACAAAGCCGCUCAGGGUACAGCGGUUUGUUACAGGGAAAAAAAAAUCCUAAGGCUAAGGAACUGACUCCAUGAAAGAGGGAUGAAAUUCUUUCUAAAUUGGUGGUGGGCACCUUAUACAUGCACAUGUGGGAAGUUUGUGAACUGAAGCCCCAGCAACACCCAUAUAAAAAGAUUUUUUUUUUGAGUUCUCCGGUUGAAUUUAUACUGCAUUCCCCUGGGACCGAUAGUUAAAAGUCUGUCUCUCCUCCAGCAGGUGCUUCCUAGAGAAUACGGAUCCUUUUGUUGUAGCUUUGUUUGCUGUGUUUCUGAGACUUGGUUCUUGAAUUUCCUCUGUAGCCAGGAAUGGUGGUAUAUUCCAGAUCCGCUGGCCUCUACCUCCAGAGUGCUGGAGUUAGGCGUGUGUUGCCUUGGCUUUCAUGAUCUCUUGGGUUGUUUGUUUGUUUGUUUGCUUUGUUCGGAAGUGUGGGAAAGGUUCUGUGUUCAGAGUAGAUCCUUAACACUGAUUAUCAGUGCUUAGAAAAUACAGUCUUUGAAUGUGUGAAUAAAAUCCGAACCUUGUUGUUGUUGUUGUUGCUUUGUUUUGUAUAAUUCCAAGUGAGAAGUAGGAAGCACAAGGUGGUUCCUGAUUCCUGAGGAUCCUGCACUAGGAAGACGUUGAGAAGUUUGAAGGGAAGGUUGGGAAACAUUUUUGAGAGCACAAACAUGCCUCAAAUGUUUCCUGAAAUGACCCAGAGGGAGAGUGGGCACUCAGGUGGAAGACUCAUUCUUUCCAGAUUUGGAGGUGGUUAGCUCUGGCUACCGUGAAUCAUGUUUUACGUCAGUAAGGAGUAUACCCCGUCCGUCGUUCAUUCUUUAAGCAUGCCAUGGAGACAGGAUGGUCAGUCAAAGUAAUGGUUAUGCAUGUCAGGAAGCAAAUGAACAUGGGAUGGAAGAGGAGGAGGCCCUACCUCAAGCAUCAUUCCCGGCAUCUCCAGGACAAACUUCCUGCUCAAGUAGCACGAAAUCACUGAUAUCACUGGCAUACUCUGAAGCCUUCAGCAUGGAUCGAGACCCUCACCUUGAACCCAUCUGGAGUCUGUCUACAGGCUGCCAAAAGUUCUUGUCUGGCAGGGAGUCACUGCCAGAGUCUCCUAACAACCAAGGAUCUGGUAACCUAUUAAUGAAAAAUUGUGUCCUAUCUAACUUUAUUUGAAGAUACAAAGAAAAUAAAACUCAUUCUAUAGUUGGGUCACCCCUCGUUCUAUGUUUUAUGAUUUCUCUUAAUAUUAUAAAUCUUCCUUGUAGUUUUAUAGACUUCAAGUUGGUUAAGCACAGAGACUACUUGAGCUUCCUUUUAUGGAGUAUCUACUGAUCUGUCCAAUCUACUGCCUUACCAUUUUCAUGAUGAAACACCAUGACCAAAGCAACUAGGGGAGGAAAGAGUUUAUUUGGCUUACUCUCCCAUAUCACUGUUCAUCAUCAAAGGAAGACAGGACAAGAGCUCAAACAGAUCAGGAACCUGGAGUUGGGGGCUCCAUGGAGGCAUGUAGCUUACUGGCUUGAUUUCCCUGACUUGCUUAGUUUGUGUUCUUGUAGAAUCCAAGACCACCAGCCCAGGUCCUCCCCCAUUCCUCACUAAUCAAGAAAAUGUGCUACAGGCUUGUGUCAGUCCCAUCCUAUGGAGAUAUUUUCUCAAUUGAGGAUUUCCUUUCUCAGGUGAUUUUAGAUUGUGUCAAGUUGACAUAAAACUAGCCAGCACACCUAUAUAAGGCAUACAUCCCACCUACCCAUGCCUUCAGAAGAAUGAGAAUGUUGUCCAGAAAAAACAGCUCUAACCCAACACUAGCAGGAUAGGCUUUGCCAUAAUUUCAUAUCCCAUUGUUUUAAAAAAUAAGGACCCAGUCCUCCUAGUUCUUAACACUGACCAUUGUAGUGGCGCAACCAUUUUCUAAGUCCAUUCCUCUACUACAUUAUUAUGUGUUAUACUGCCAAUAAACAUCUAGUUUAGUUAUCUUAGAUUCUACUACUUCAAGCCAUUGCCAAGAGAACUUCUCUGGUUUCCCAAGAAAAAGUACAUCUUUGAGUUGAUCUUCCAGGAUCCUGGUCAUCCUGGGAGUGAACCAACUGUAGAAUGAAUUUUAUUUUCUUGGUAUCUUCAAAUAAAGUUAGAUAGGACACAAUUUUUCAUUAAUAGGUUACCAGAUCCUUGGUUGUUAGGAGACUCUGGCAGUGACUCCCUGCCAGACAAGAACUUUUGGCAGCCUGUAGACAGACUCCAGAUGGGUUCAAGGUGAGGGUCUCGAUCCAUGCUGAAGGCUUCAGAGUAUGCCAGUGAUAUCAGUGAUUUCUGAAGAGAGCAACACAGACUUUGAAGUGAAGUAGUACAACUUAGAAACAAGUUUGAAGGGGUUGGGGAUUUAGCUCAGUAGUAGAGCACUUGCCUAGCAAGCACAAGGCCCUGGGUUCGAUCCUCAGCUCUAAAAAAAAAAAAAAAGAAAGAAACAAGUUUGAAAAGGCCACAUGUGAUGUCUUGCCUGGAUAAAACAAGUCAUUGGUGGACAAAUACAGAGAACACUAUGCUAUGGGAUCCACAAUAACCCCAUUCCUGAAGGAAGGCUUAGCCUCUGCUUUUGGGGGGCACUCUGCUCCUAUAAUCCUAGAGUGGGGAGACAGGUAGGAGGUACCCAGUAAUUCACUGGCCACCCAGUCUAGGUAGUCAGUGAGCUCUAGGAUCAGUGAGAGACCCUGGGUCAAAAAAUUGGAGAACAAUCAAGGAAGCUACUCAGUGCUGACCUCUGGCCUGGCUGUGGUGUGUUGCUUGUAAAGGUCUGCUUCAACCUGUGGGAGUCCCGACUUCUCUUUCAAGUUCCUGAUCUCAUCCAUAGAAUGAAUUCCAUGUCAAAUCUCUAUUUCCAAUUUCCCUCUCUGCCAUUUGCAUCCAGGGAGAUCAUGUUUCAGUCGGGAAACCUUCAUCUUCACUAUCAGUAAUAAUCUAGCUGUAUGUGACCCUAGUGGGAGUGUCUUGGAGGCCCAAAGUUUUGCUUGUGAAGAGCUAUGUCAGGCUUGGGAAAACCAUCAGGGCAGUAGACAGUUCAGGGCCUAGAAGGGAGAAUGUCAGCCAGACUAUAACAGGAAAGCAUGUGGGUAGAUACACCCAGGGGCCUCUGAGAAUUCUUUUCAUUGAAGACUUUGGAUGGAAUUCCACACUUACCAAGUGUCAACUAUGUGACCUGUGACCUUGGAUAUGUAACAACAUGAUUACUCUGAGAUCUAAAUUUCCUUCUUCCUUCCCUUCCCCUCCUCCCUCCCUCCCUCCCUCCCUUCCUUCCUUCCUUCCUUCCUUCCUUCCUUCCUUCCCUUUCUGUUUCUUUCUUUCUUUUGCUCUUUCUUUUCUCCUCCUUGUCUUCAUCCUUCUCCUCCCCCUUCUGCUCUCACCUCCUCCUCCCCAUCUGCCCCCACUUCCCCCUCUUCCUCUUUGUUCUUCCUUAAGCCAGGGAUGUGGAAAACUACGUGAUUCAAAUAAUUUCUGGUGAUGGUAACCAUCUGUCUUGAUUGCUUCUUUAGUUACAUUUGUAAGAUACAACACCAUGCAAUACUUUUCAGGGGUGAAAGUAAGGUUUGGGAAGGUAGAAAUAUGUGCACAGAGCUUAAUAUACUGUAUGUGGGAUGUUGUUUAGUGCAGAAAGCUACUACUGACUCAAAGCUGAUACAGCUACUGGACAUGUUACUGCCAGCUAGGUUCUAUCUAGCCGAGGGUUACCUGGCUUUGGGUGGUUUUACAGAAUUGUAAAGUUUUAAAAUUAAAUGUCAAAAAUUUAAAAUCCAAAUCAGGCUCUCUCUCUCUCUCUCUCUCUCUUUCUCUCUCUCUCUCUCUCUCUCUCUCUCUCUCUCUCACACACACACACACACACACACACACACACACACACACACACACACACA